rnacentral:lncRNA from 1 species
CCACCUGCAGAGGGCCUGACACAUCUGUUGGAGCCACUGUAUUCUGAGGUGAGCCAGGUGAGGUUCAGGGGCCUUGCUACCGGGGAGGACCUCAGCUGCCCUGACCCUCCUGUCCCUGGCUUCCCACAGCCAUGCCAUGGCUCUGACCUGAGACUCUGAGUGGCUGCUGGAGGUGCAGAAGGGGAUUGCUGUCCUGCCCCGUGGGAGGGGGAAGGAGGCUGGGAAACCUGGUUGGGGGAGAGGAGGCCACUCCAUGUGCUCCAGCCCAGCCCCGCUUCCUGCCACUCCCUAGAACUCAACUUUAGGGUCAUCACUCUCAACAGUAUGGGUGCCACCAGUGAUUGUGACUUCAUGCCAAGUUCCUAUUCUGGGUUUCACUCUGCAUGA